GACGAACCGGACAAACGUUAUUCGGAAUUAUUGGGCUUAAAGGGUGCGUAGGCGGCGCGGUAAGUUGGGUGUGAAAGCCCUCGGCUCAACCGAGGAAUUGCGCCCAAAACUAUCGUGAUCGAGGGAGACAGAGGUGAGCGGAACUGAUGGUGGAGCGGUGAAACGCGUUGAUAUCAUCAGGAACACCGGUGGCGAAAGCGGCUCACUGGGUCUUUUCUGACGCUGAGGCACGAAAGCUAGGGGAGCGAACGGG
rnacentral:misc_RNA from 1 species